AAUUCUGAUGAACACUAACCAGUAGAAGGUAACCACACUGAUUGGCGGAGCUUGGAAGCCAAGUCUAACCUGCUCUGAGCUAAUGUGCAGUGUUGGCUCCUGUUGUGCUGCACAGGCCUUCGGUAUUACAAAUGGAACUCAAGAGCAUACUCCACUCGUCUCUACUAGUGGAUUGUUUCUGAACAUUGUCUGCACUGGGCUGCAGAUGCUCAUUACUUAAGUUCAAGGUUCUUACUGAUGUCACUGGAAAAUUUGUCUCUGCUCUGAGAAAUCACAGGGAUUAGUCUUUGUGACUGGUGAGGUGACCACACUAACACCUGGUGUUGAUAAGAUGGCAUAAAAACAGCCAGCUCUGGGAAGUCGUGCUAGAGAGAUGGCUCAGAAGUGAACAGCCCAUGCUGCUCUUCCGGAAGACCUGAGCUGGGUUACCAGCACCUAUGUUCUCCAGAUCACAGUCUUCACUAACUCCAGCUCCACGGGAUCUAACCCCCUCUUCCGGCCUCCAUGGUACUUUUACUCAUGUGCAUGACAUCCUCCCACACAUACUUAAUGAAAAAUAAGAAUUAAAUCUUUAAUAAUAAUAAAAAAAAGAGUCCCGGAAGAGAUU
rnacentral:lncRNA from 1 species